UCUUCUCAACCAAGGUUGGAAGCAAAUUUUCUCUGCCAGAUGCCUUGAGUCCAAAUGACCCUUCUUGGAUGGUGAUUGUGCCUGUGGUCCUUAUAAUCGCUGUGUGCAUCAUCUUUAUUGUGACCUGGAACUUAAAAAAAGGCAAAGGCAUGUGUAAAGAUGAAUCUGGUA